rnacentral:rRNA from 1 species
GAUGAACGCUGGCGGCGUGCCUAAUACAUGCAAGUCGAGCGAACGGACGAGAAGCUUGCUUCUCUGAUGUUAGCGGCGGACGGGUGAGUAACACGUGGAUAGCCUACCUAUAAGACUGGGAUAACUUCGGGAAACCGGAGCUAAUACCGGAUAAUAUUUUGAACCGCAUGGUUCAAAAGUGACAGACGGUCUUGCUGUCACUUAUAGAUGGAUCCGCGCUUCAUUAGCUAGUUGGUAAGGUAACGGCUUACCAAGGCAACGAUGCAUAGCCGACCUGAGAGGGUGAUCGGCCACACUGGAACUGAGACACGGUCCAGACUCCUACGGGAGGCAGCAGUAGGGAAUCUUCCGCAAUGGGCGAAAGCCUGACGGAGCAACGCCGCGUGAGUGAUGAAGGUCUUCGGAUCGUAAAACUCUGUUAUUAGGGAAGAACAUAUGUGUAAGUAACUGUGCACAUCUUGACGGUACCUAAUCAGAAAGCCACGGCUAACUACGUG